GGGAUUUAGCCUCACAUUGGGCUCUGUGCUGAGCAUGAGGCAUUCUUGAGGUUCCCUCUCCCUCUGCUCUUUGCCCUUCCCUGCGUGCGUGUGCACUCUCUAUCUCAAAAAUAAAUAAAUAAACAUUAACAAAAGAAAGUUUAACUGACAUGCCAUGGAUCCUGCCCUUGAGGGGCUGAUAGGGUGCUGGAGGAUGCCUCCUUAAGCUAGAGCUUGGAACAGACUUUCUGCUGGCAAAGUGAGUUCAAUGGCUGAGAAAGGUACCCCACCUGGGUGCCUUAUAACCAAAUUCAGACCACUCUUCCC
rnacentral:RNase_P_RNA from 1 species